rnacentral:tRNA from 1 species
GCCGGGGUAGCCUAGCCUGGCUAGGGCGCCAGACUCAUAGUCCAGAAGUCGCGGGCUCGAAUCCCGCCCCCGGCACCA